GUCGUAUUUUAGAUCCAUUCAGGAGCUCCUUAACUCCAUUCAUGGUCCAAGCACUUGUCUGCACACAAGAUUGGUUGAGGGGAUCUAUUGCUGUAAAUGAUGAAGAGGACACUGCAGAAUUAACUAAGCUAGAGGAAGCAUUGCUUGAAGAAAUAAAUGGGCUCAAUAUUUCGAAGAACAACUCCAAUAAGGAUAAUUCGGUCAUCAUGGAUGAUCGUACUUCCUAAACAUGUUGCUAUUGAGGUAUGCCAAUAAAUUUAUUGUACAAAAUCCUCAGAUGUUUGCGUCCGGCAAGGUUGCCGUAUGGAGCCAUGAAAGUAGUACUGCAGAUCUGAGAUCUUGAAGCCUUACUCCUGUGAUGAAGUCCCAUUUAUUCACGUUUCUGUCACCAGUCAGCUAUUUGAUAGCCUUUUGUUUGAUUUCCC
rnacentral:rRNA from 1 species